AUCGCUUCUCGGCCUUUUGGCUAAGAUCAAGUGUAGAAAUACUGUAACAUAUAUACAUUUUAUUGUAUCAAUACUUUUA
ensembl:snRNA U2 U2 spliceosomal RNA